rnacentral:rRNA from 1 species
UACGGGGGGGGCAAGCGUUGUUCGGAAUUACUGGGCGUAAAGGGUGCGUAGGCGGCUUUCUAAGUCGGAUGUGAAAACUCUGGGCUCAACCCAGAGCCUGCAUCCGAAACUGGAAGGCUAGGGUGCUGGAGGGGAAAGCGGAAUUCCUGGUGUAGCGGUGAAAUGCGUAGAUAUCGUCAAGAACACCGAUAGCGAAGGCAGCUUACUAGGCUGUAACUGACGCUGAGGCACGAAAGUGUGGGGAUCAAACAGG